GUAAAUGCGUAGAUGGAGAAGAGUAAGCAGUGCCUCUUUACAGGGAGGAGACGCCACAGAUUGAGAGCGUUUCUAUGGAAACAGGCUGCUGAAGUUCGCUCCGGAGCAGUUCCCUGAACGCGGCUUAGACUGAUCAGUAGGGGAUAACGGGUUCCGACACGUUAUGUCGGUUAAAGUGAGCAUGCGGCUGAUGGCUGCUGAAUAACGGAAGUUGUUCGAGUUAUGUAUUAGCGUGCUAACAAGGGUGGUACCACGGUCUUUUCGUCCCUUUC
rnacentral:ncRNA from 1 species